rnacentral:rRNA from 1 species
GACGAACGCUGGCGGCGUGCUUAACACAUGCAAGUCGAACGGAAAGGCCCUGCUUUUGUGGGGUGCUCGAGUGGCGAACGGGUGAGUAACACGUGAGUAACCUGCCCUUGACUUUGGGAUAACUUCAGGAAACUGGGUCUAAUACCGGAUAUGAGCUCCUGCUGCAUGGUGUGGGUUGGAAAGUUUCGGCGGUUGGGGAUGGACUCGCGGCUUAUCAGCUUGUUGGUGGGGUAGUGGCUUACCAAGGCUUUGACGGGUAGCCGGCCUGAGAGGGUGACCGGCCACAUUGGGACUGAGAUAGGGCCAAGACUCGUACGGGAGGCAGCAGUGGGGAAUAUUGCACAAUGGGCGGAAGCAUGAUGAAGCAACGCCGCGUGCGGGAUGACGGCCUUCGGGUUGUAAACAGCUUUCGACUGUGACGAAGAGUGAGUGACGGUAAUGGGUAAAGAAGCACCGGCUAACUACGUG